rnacentral:misc_RNA from 1 species
GAUGAAGAACGCAGUGAACUGGGAUAAGUAAUGUGAAUUGCAGAAUUCAGUGAAUCAUCGAGUCUUUGAACGCACAUUGCGCCCCCUGGCAUUCCGGGGGGCAUGCCUGUCCGAGCGUCAUUGCUGCCCUUCAAGCCCGGCUUGUGUGUUGGGUCGUCGUCCCCCCCGGGGGACGGGCCCGAAAGGCAGCGGCGGCACCGCGUCCGGUCCUCGAGCGUAUGGGGCUUUGUCACCCGCUCGAUUAGGGCCGGCCGGGCGCCAGCCGGCGUCUCCAACCUUCUAUUUUACCAGGUUGACCUCGGAUCAGGUAGGGAUACCCGCUGAACUUAAGCAUAUCAAUAAGCGGAGGA